GGGUCCUAGUUGUUUGGGUUUGUUUUUCCCGUAUUUAUUUUCCUAUUUCUUCCCCUCAAGCGGCAAAAGACAAACACCGACAAAAAGUAGGUUGCGUGUCUAGGUGUUACUUAACAGUAAUUGUUACACACGGGUGUUUUCUUGCCACGUUUUAGGACGAAGGGAAGGCUCGCAGCAUUUCGGAUGUUUACUUGCGUGUACGUCGAGAAACAUGUAAACCCAGGCUGUGGUGUGCUAGCAUGAUACCAAGUGUGUAUUACUGGAUCACGGACUCUUCACUGCCUUCCUGUGUAUGGUCAAGAGAGCUCCUGAACAGUACAGUGGAGGCCAUACAAAGUCUGUUCUGACAGAUUGUUACUUGGUCCCUUUAAAUUUUUAUGUGAUUUUUUUUUUCAUGUGUGUUCUUGCACUCUGUUUUCAAAUGAUUUGUACUUUGGUUUGCUGUAUCAAUAUAUUAUGUUAUGAAAUACACAUUUUAUUGCUUUUGGCAAAUAUUUGUGUUAAAGUAAAUGUUCUGUUGUGCCUGGCAAGGCUGCGAGCCUGCAUUGUGGGUUUCAGUUACUCUCUGAGUGGGCCUAACAUCCAGUCACAGUCUGGUGUAAUUACCCCUUCUGAACAAAAGAGCGUAACGCGGGUGCCUGUGUGCUGUUUGAGGCUUCGUCGCCUUCCUGAAUGGCUUGUAAGUGUGCAGAGACUACAGAGCUUUAGAUGUGACAAACUGUCAGAGCUUUCAGAUGGGAAAAUCCGUUUAUAUUUUAGACAAUUUUUUGUGUUUUCCCCAUCUUUUUUAUCUGCUUUAAAUGAAAAUGUCACAUUAAGCUGAUUACCCCUUUCUGACUUGUCUAGAAUAUACUCCAGCUAGGAUGUAGCAUAAGAAGUCCUUUAUGCUUCUCUGUGUGGUCAACCUUUUCUUGGAUGUGUUCUGUAGCUCUUGAAACCUCUUUAAUUUCUUGGUUUCAUCUUCAAAUUAUAUGUAUCAUUCUGUGAUACUUCUUGUGCUAUCUCUGCCUACCUUCAUUUUUUGAUGCAUUGUUUCAGUUAGGUUAGGUUAACAACAUGCUGUCAUCUUUUCUUGUGUUUUUUGCUGUGAUGUAUUCUGUGCAUAAGUUACAUAUAUUUUUUUAAACUGAUUUUACAGUCAGCUCUGUUCUUGAAAUAUGUUUAUGUUUGCAGAAAUCCUGUUGAAAUUUUUGUCCUUUUUUCUGUUCAUGAUACAUGGACAUACUCAACUAGAUUUAUGUGCAUUGUAUAGGUGUGACUUAUUUCUAUAGACUAGAUCUCAGGUCAGAACAAACUGAAGUUUAGGCAUAUAAUUCAGUUUUUGUCUGCACAGUGUAAUGUUGUCUGUGAUAUUUCAGGAGUAAAAUACUGUAGAAUUUGCCUUUUGCGGAGGUUGGCUUUGUAAAGCUGCACUGGUCCUGUACUAGUUGUAAAGGAGUUUGGAGAAGUCAGUCAGGUAAACUAUGAAUAUAUCCCUGUGAAGCCUUCUGUGUUGCACUUUUCCAGGGAUGUUUUGUUUCUCUACAAACAUACAGUGAACUUAUAAGGUCUCAAUGAUGAAUAGGUUAUGAAAUUAUCAAAUGUGUGCAUGUCAGUUACAGAUCUUUGCCUUUCAAAAUGUCUGCAACCUCUCUAAUGUUCUUUAUAUUACAAAAAUAUGUUUGUUUUUUUUAGUUAAACAAAGGAAAUGUUUUGCUCUUCAGGGUUUAUGGGGCAUAAGAAGGAGAAAGCAUUUUUUUUUUUUUUUUUAAAUUCAAAAUUAGCAGUUUACCUGAAAAUUUCAUAAUGGUGUCAACUUUGUUGUCUUCCCCCUCAAGGAGAAAAUUUUUUAUGUUUAUAGAAAUAAAUAUUUAAUUUGAGCAGCUUAGAGGGCAGUCAGGGAAAUACAGCACUAAUCUGUAUGUAGUGUACGUAUGUACAUGCUUCUGUUGCAAAGCAAAGCCAAAUUGAUUAAAUUUAUAUGGAAUUGUUUUUAAAUAGUUAGCUCUUGCUCUGAGGAUUAGUUCUGUAUUUUGUAUAGUCUUAAAAGAAUUAACUUUGCCCUUUCCUACGGCAGUUCAUUGGUGGUAUUUUGCCAUUAGGUGUUUGAUGUUUUUUACAGCUUUGUCGUUCUAAGAAAACAUUUAAUAACAUCAUUUGAAAAGAAAGGUGAUUCGGGUACCAUUUGAAGAUUAUCAUUUCAACUGCAGAUGCCUUGAGGCCUUUUUUCCUCACAUGGAGGAAAAAUUCAGUGCCAAAGUCACAUCUGAGCGAAGUUCAUGUAGAAUGUAUUUUUUCUGAUAUUGUAUAGAUUUGAACAUGUCAUUGUUUGGUCUCUGAAGAAACACAAAACUUCUCAUCCACUCCUUAAUAUGAUCUUGAUGUAAAAUCAAGGUUUCCCUCUUAGAGCUGUUAGGUUACAUGGUACAGGUCUGUCUGAACGCACUGAUUUGUACUCUGAAAGCAGACUUUCUCCUUAAGAAAAGAAGGAAAUGCAUGUGUUAUAGUGACUACUUUUCCUGAAUUGGUUCUUUGUUUUGGAGCUUUAUACAUGAGGUUCUGCACGAUGGGCUUUGCCAACUCUGCUGCUGAAAGAGGCUGUCCUGCUCCUGGCUGCAUGCUACUAUAAUUCCUCUUUUGCUGGUUCAGUGCUUGCCUGAUUGGUAAAUCAACUCUGCUCAGAAAACUGACAGAACCCAUUCUCUUGCUGGGUUAGCUUUUUGUUGUGCUACUGAGCCGAGUGGGCUUGUCAGAGGCUAGGAUGAGUCCCAGAGUGUUGCAAAACACUUGAAGAAUGUGUUGUUGGAGAUGAUACUGGUGGGAAAAGACAGAAGAGUCACUCAUUUUUCUUCUCACUGCCCACUUUGGGAUUGAUAGUUCAUCCCGUUUUGUAGAGCCCUGUUUUUGUGUCUCAGUCACUAUAUGUGAUUCUGACCAGACCCAGUUGCUCAUCUAGUCCAAGGACCAAGGGAAUCGAGGCAUUGCCAGUGCAGCUGCAGGAGCACAACCCCACAACAUCAUCUGUUUGCAGGCAUAGGUGAAGCUCUUUCAUCUGUCUGGGAGUUGGAGGACAAGGCAUGCUGAUGCUCAUGUCAGAGAAUGUGGAGAUUGCAAAGAGUCUGUUACAAAUGUUUUCUGGUGCUGACCUACUCUUUACAGAAAAUUAAGACCUUGUAGUUAGAAACAUUCAGGGACCUGAACUGAAUCAACAGAGCUUUGGUCUGGGACCAGAGAACUUUCAAGCUGAAUUUCUGGCUCUUCUGAUGUGUAAGCCUUAAAUCCUUCAUGUGGCAAUUUGGUGGAUCUUAGGGAAGUGUUUUAGACCUCAAGGGAAAGCUGAUGUGUUUAAUUUUACUUUUCCUUGGCUUAGCCAUGUUUCCUCAGAAGUAAGAUGGAAGUCUCAACUUCAGUCCAAUGAGCUGUGUACCCUCUGCCAAAGUAUUAAGUAACUUGAAGUGACCUCAAGCUCUUCUAACAAUACAAAAGCUGAAACAGUUUUGGUUAGACUGAAAAGAAACUAGUUAUAAUAAGGAUGCUAGACAAGCACUUGUGUGACUGGGUGUCUGUUUCCAAUCCUUUUAUAUUCUUCAUUUGGACAAACCAUUUUUUUCCUCUUGGUUCCCAUCUCUGAAGUGGGAAGUCUUAUUAAUAUAUAUUAAGGUUAGGUGUGUUCUACCAUAAGAAACACUGAAGAGCUGCAAGUAUUCAAAUUGCUUCAAUUUUUUGAAACUGCGUAAUAACAUGUAGAAUAGUGUGCAAGUUUUUCUCUUUAUAGUUAACUUGAAGAACUGGCUUUAUUGGAAGUAGGUGUACUUUGAAAGUUAAUACUCCUUUCCUUGAGAUUGUAAUUUUGUAAUUUUUUUCAUUUAUUCUGGAAUAAAACAUAAUAGAUGUUUUAGCUUAUGCCUUCUGAUAAAGUAACUAGGACAAAAAGAAAAUAUAUUGUCCAAUAAAAAUCUGUAAGAGAACUGAAUAGUACACGAUUAAACUUUUUAAAUUAGAGUCCAACAAGAUUCUACUGAGUUUCUGAACAGUUAUUAAAUGGUAAUAGCUCUAAUUUCUAAAGCAAAAUUAAUUAUUACUUUUUCAGUGUUAUUUAAAAGAUAGAGAUUUAGAUAGGUAAUUUAAACACUACCUCUAAUUUUCUGUAAUAUUAUAGUUGACCUAUAUUUUUGGUAUAAUUGCUUUUGUUUUGGCCAUUCUUGACUGUGCAAAUGAAGGCACUGUAAGUAUUUGUGUAAAUUUACUGUGAAUUUUUUAUUGGCUAGCUAAUUUAUGAUGAUUUUAUAUUCCAGAAUGUCAUUUGUUGAUGCUCCUGAAGCACUUCAAUAUCUUCCUUUCCCUCUGUUAUGUUUGAUACAUAAAUUAUUUGAGGAGUUAAAAUGUUUUCAGAAGGCUCUGUUUUGUGACUUCUGUAUCUAAAAACUGGAGAGGUGAGAAAAGUCUGGUUGGGGGAUUGCUGCUUGGUACACCUAAUUUCUGUAUAUACCUACUAGGUGCUACAGUGCAGAACGUGAAAUAUAUUAUUUUUAUUUUAAACUUAUCUUUAUCUGUUGAUAAUGAUGAGUUCUCUUAGAGCAACACAUUGGCAGUAAAAUGAUUUAAGCCUUACUGUGGAGUAUCACUCCGUUAACUGCCAGUGGGCAAAAUCACAUUAAUUUUGUUUGCAUUCUUCAUUUGUGGUUUCUAGCUUUUCUUUUUGGGGAUAGUUUUCAUAUUCAUUAGCAGAUUUUUUUUUAUUAUCAGUGCAGUUUCUAUGCACUUUCUGCAUCUUUUGAAAGAUCAUGCAAUAAUACAGUGUCUCCAUUCUGUUCACAUGACAGUUUGUACAAGUUGAACUUAUACUCUUCAUGUAACUAUUUGUACUUUCCCUACACUACUGUGGAAUAAAGUACCAUUGUCUCAAAACAACUCUGAGUAAUCAGUAAAGAUUUCUGUAGGUACAGUGCAUAUAAAUGCUCCAGUUUUACCUUUGUCUCAUUGCUCAAGUAUGAAAAUUCAAUUAACAGCAUUGCUAUUGCUUUAUUAUCAACAUAUGAGAGGUAUUUUAGUGAAAUAUAUAGCUUUUAAAAAAGCUAAGCUAUUUUUCAUUUUGUCAGUCCUUUCUAAUGUAUUGUAUCAUUAGCUCAUGAAUACAUAGAACUAAAAAUCUAUGGAGUAUGAAUCGUCUUGAGAUGUUUGCUGUGUGGUGGUAAUAUGGAUUUAUGUGGCUGGUAACCCUCCUCAGGUCAAUUCUGCUUUUGAAUGGAAUUAAUAUUUAAUACUGUUUUCUCCAUUACUUCAACAUUAACUAAAGCAGACUUCAAAACUGGUGUUUCUUUUUGAAAAUACUGAGUUCUUUGUUGCUCAAGCAGACAUAAAUACUGAUGUUCGCCACAAAAGCAAGUAAGGUUUUUUUGUUUUUUUUUUAAACCUUCCCACAUUACUCUGUCUUAAAAGCCAGUUGGAGUAUGUAUGAUUGGUCUAGAUUUUUAAUAUAUUGUGGUCUGAAAUCUAUUUAUUUUCAUCUGAAACUGUCAGCUGACAUGGCAGCUAGGCUGGGAAAUUAAUUUCAUAAAUUUAAUUGUGUUUGUUCCAUUUACAUGACUACUUUAUUCACUUAAAGGCUCUUAAAGCAGUUCUCAUGAAAACAAGUGCAAGGAAAGGUGACUCUCUGAGAAAUGGAAUCUUUGAUAUUGAAGAUAUGUGAUUACUCUGAUCUGUCAUUCUUGCCAUUUACUAGGCAGUAUUUUCUAAAGAGAGUGACAUUUUUCUUUUGGAAUAUUGGUGUUUGCCAAUAAACAAAGUCCAAAUCAGAUAAAUGAAGAGCAGCCAAAGAAAUUGCUGUGUCUUAUUACCCAAUAGUACUUGUAAAACCUCUGGUUGUCUUGCUCAACAUACAGAUUUUUAAUUUUGUUUCAAUAACAAGAAUAUUUGGAUCUUUUCACUAAAGGAUUACAUCAUGCUGUUGCCUUGCAAAACCUGGUGUUAAGAACAAACAGAACAAGAGAAAUGAGGUGCUGCAAGUUACCACAGAGUUUUCAGAGGUACUGCUGGGCACCUCUCUGAGGUGUGGAGUGCUGUACAGAGCAGUCUAGGAGCAGUACCAAAAGCAAGGUAGCUGUGCUAAUUGGGGCACUGUACUCAGGAAAAUAUUAAGUCUGCCCCCUCAGCAUAGUGUUAUCCCUUAUUUCACAAAGGUGUGUUGUGUUGACAUAUCACAGCCUCAAGCCCACUCUGUCCUAGGUAUUUCUCUGUGCUUCUGUUGCUUAUGUAACAGAGGACCAAAAUAAUGUCAAGAAAACUGGUGUGCACAUGUAGCCUCUUAAAGCUCAAGCUACCUUUUGACUACACUAUUUGUCUGCCCAGAGGACACAUCAGUGUGAGGCAAAGGUGAGCAGCAGCUUGCUGCCUCUGAUGCCGAGUGAACAGCUAGGACAUCUUGGGGCGUUCCUUUGCGUCUCCUAACACUGCAGUAAAAUGUGCUGCCCUGAUGGAAUGAGUAUCACGGAAGUAGUUUAGAAUGCUGUUCUUAUUCUCGCUAAGAACAAAUGGGACAGCUGUAGUAUUGAGUGAUUGGACUGAUAUUCUUGCUGAAAAGUGCUUAUUUAGCACUUUAGAACUGAGUGAAAGCAGAUGCCUUGGCUGUACCUUACACUUCCAGCAUGGUCAGCUGGCUUGUGCUUGAAGCAUCAUGAAACUGAAUGAUCUAGGUAUGAACUAGGGUUAGGAGUAUCAUUUGAGUAGAUCAGAAAUUGCACAUGCAAAGGUGCAGCUCCUAAGGCCUUCUGGAAAUGUUACCUCCUGACUUUGAUAUUUUACCAGUAAGGGCAGAUUCCGGUUCCCCUUGAGUUUUUGGAAUUGAUGGCUCAACUAGCAUCGCCAGUGAAAAUAUACUGUGCAUUCUAUUUCCUGCUCCUUAUUUGACUGUGGAAAUAAAGUUAUUGUCUAAUGAAAAAACACAAACCCUUCACUUUAGAGAAAAAUAAACCUUUUUAUUCCUGGUUUAUUCUGAUACUGAAUAGAUCUAUCAUUAUAAGAGAGAAUAAAAUCUUGUAUAUUAGUGAAAGAGGAAUAUCACUGGUACCAGUGUUCAGCCUCUCAACAUCAGGUGCUGUUAAUUGCAUCCUGUGAAGAUGCUUUUCAUACAUGUGGUCUUUUCCUGAAGGUAGUUCCAUACAUUAAGGAAGAGAUCUGACAUUUCUCUACAACCCUGUUUGCUUAUUGCACAUUAGCGCUCUUGUGCCUUUUUUCUUCCCCCCAGCAUAUGAAUGUCAGUGCUUGUGUUGGUUGAAUCUUUGUUUUUCAUAGGGUUGCACUGUGUCUAAUUCUCUUUCUUUGAUGUCUGAAACAGUGAUGCGAUGUGGGGACUGGGACAAGGAAAUGAGCCUAUCGUGAAAAAGUGGUAAAACAUGGAAAAAUAAAGCUUUAGCCUUUCAUUGUGAUCAGCGAAAUGAUUUUGAGCAGACAUCUUGUUUGUCUGGACUAAACUUACAUAAAACAGGCAUGGGUACAUUUACACUGUGUGAUUAAGAGAGAACUGCAAUGCAUUCCUUGCUGCUUUUGACACACGUGUGCUGAGAAGGGAAGUGGAUACAUCCCUGCAGUGUGUCUUGGCAGUUCUCAAUGCAAGCUACAUGGAAAAUUCCCGAGGAGUUGCUAGUGGACCACACAGCCGCUUUGAAGCAGUAAAGUCUCUAUUUGCAGUUUCCUACUCCAUUCCAGGGCAGUGAUAGUAAAUUCUACUGUGAUUUUCAGGCCACAUUAUUAAAUGCUUUGAAUAGUCUAUUUUUCUGGGGUGGUUUCCCCCCCGCUUUUUCUUCUUUUCUUCUACUGUUAAUAGGGAAUUUGGAGAUAGAAUGAGCAGAUAAAUGUUUUAUAUAAAUGUGUUGGUUAACCUAGUAAAGUAAAAUUCUGUUUCUUAUGCCAACCUGAGGAAGCUGGACAAGCAUCUUUCUAGUGUGAACCUAUGCAUUGCUCUGAGCCCCUGAGAAAUUCAUCAGCUUUCUAUGGAGCUUGUGCACCGCCAUACUUGGAACAAGUUUUUUGUUAGGAAAUGUGCUCUAUCCCCUUAAUAUGCUUGCCAUGUGUUUAGAAGAAAAACUGUAAAUCUCUAAAUGAUCAUUGUUGGAAACAUACUGACUGUAUGCCAGGAGGAUGGGAAUAAAGUAGAUACUUCCUUUUCAAAACUGUACCAGACACAAAAUAAUUGAAUGGAACUUAUGGUUUUCAGGUGUCUGAAAAAUUGGAACUGAGAUCAGAAGAUUUUUCUGUUCACGUGGGGUAUCUACAAAGGGGGUAAACAGCCGGUACAGAUGAGUCUUGUAGGUGAAAAGCUGGAUGAAGAGAUCUAAGGAAAGACAAUGCAGGAGAAAACUAUCAAAACAAAGAAUACGCGGAGAAUAUUGACUUGUUCUGCAAGAGUGUGACGUUUUAAAUUUGAACAUUAAUUUGUGACUGAAAAAGGCCUCUGUGCUAGAAUAUCUGCUGCAGUGACCAGUCAUUCUGAAGUGAUAUGAGGAAGAUCCAAGUUCUAAAGCAGCCAGUGGGCUUGGUGAUACUUGUUGAUAUAAAUGCCUGGUUGAGUUUUUGACUGGAUGGAAACUACUUUAUGGUGUGCUGAACAUAAGGACUGAUGAUCAGCAUUAAUUUAAAUUUAAACCGUAACAUUCAGUAUCUUUCUGUGAAUGGAAUCUAACCUGAAUCAGCUGCACAAAAUCCAAUUUUAAUUACUGUAUUUUCUGAAGAUAAAUACAUAGUUUGAUGUUGUCUUAUGUAACUCUGUCUUGAAUUGAUAAAGGAGAAAAGAUGUCUUUUUAAAGAAA